CUAAUUACGUGUAAAUGGCCCUAAUCUCUACUAUAUAAGCCAAGAGCUGAGGUUAAUUUCGAAAUACACUUUUGAUGUCCACCUUGAAAUUGACGAUAAUACCCCACAUUUUCACAUUCAACCUUGCUCUCCUCCUUCCCGUCUUCUUCUCUCUCCUCCCUCACAUCCUCUCCUUUGAUAUUCUUCAUCAAAAUUAUGCUCGAAAAAAUCCAUAAAAUCACAAAAAGAAAAAAUUGAGACCUAAUCUUUGUUCAUCCCAAAUCUCUAUUUUGGGAAAUCCCCAAUUUGAUUUGUUAAUUUGGGGAAAAUUUGAACGCGACUUGAAUUGGGGUUUGGAUCAGAUUUUGAGAUGGGUUUGUCAUCUCCGUUGAAUGUUGCAGGUUUAAUUGUGGAUGACAAUUUGAUCCCCAUGUGGUAAUUGGUACCAGGUUUGAAAUUCCAAUUGAUUUUAUUAAAGUUCAUUGUUUUUGAAUUGAUUUUUCAAAGUUUAAUCGUAAUCGCAAUGAAUUUUUCAUCAUGGAGAAAUGGGUCCGCUUGGAAACUUUUAAUGAAUCAUUUUAAAGCCGAUUCAACAUGCGAUUAAAUCCAUUUUCGAAGAAUCCAUCCGUAAUUUCAAAGCUCGAGAAUCCAUAAACGGCGAGAUUCGUAACUCUCUCAUACCAACCCUAAAAUCACCAUAUCACAAUCAAAAUUUGUUUACAGGAAAUGACAAAAAAUUGUUCAAAGCCUAGAAUUAGAGAGAAAGAAUCUUAAUUUGAGAAGAACAGAUUCAUAAUUUGAGGAGUUCAAUGAUAAGCUUCUUCGUAUAUGGGUUUCUUUUGUUGAUUUCAAUUAUUUUUAGUGUAUAAAUUUUCAUUAAUUGUUUAAUUUAACAUGCUUUUUAACAAGGUGGUUGUGGUGGUGGUGGUGAUGAAGUUUGAAGAAGGCAGGUAGUAGAGGUGGUGGCUGUCAGAAUUUAUGGAUAGUGAAGUAAGGAAGAGGUGGGUAAGGGGAGUUAGGGUUGAAUUUCAUUGUAUCAUGUUGGUAAUCGUUUUGUGCAUCAUUGCAGAAAUGCUGUUUCUAACUUCUUACAAUACUAAGAGGUUGUUUUUUCGGAUAUAAAAGACAAAAAAGGAAGUACCAUUUAUGUUAAAAAAAUACCAUUCUGUAAAAAAAAGUAUCAUUCAGUUAAAAAAAGUACCAUUUUUGUUUAAAAAGUACCAUUUAAUUUCUUUUUUAUCAUUUUUCUUAUUUUGUCUUUUACUAUGAUAUGUAUUUGCCCACACAUAUCUGAUAUCCGAAAAUACUUCCUCUAGUAUUAAUGCUUUCAACAAUACCAUAGACCUCCAAACAGAUGCUGCCACCAAAAUUACAGCUUAAAGAGGUCCGAUGUCAUCUAGGAAGGCCUCUAUUAAGCAAUUGAUUGUUUAAUUGAUGAAGCACAUCUUCACAUAUCUUCUGACCAAAAACCAGAGGUGUGCAGAACACUCUUAACUAGGUGUACAUACAGAAUAUCUCAAUGAAGAGUGAAAGAGGAAUCAAGAAGUAGCAUGCAAACAAGAACAACCUUUAAAGCUAGAAAUCAUAGUCAAGUUGUCAGAGCAAUGAAAUUACUUGAAUCAAGAAAAAUUCCAGAUGUAAAGAAUACACAAAUAACAUGAAGAAUGCAAAAAGGAAAACUAAUACGGAGUAAAAUGUAAUCUUUCCGCACAGAGAUACACCAGAAGAGGAUUGAAACUGAAGAUUAUAAAGGAGUAAAUAUCUACUCACUUUUAAAAAAAUACUUCCUCCGUCUUUUAAUACUCGCAACGUUUAGACUUUUGUCACUAUUCAUAUAAUCUACUUUGACUAUUCGUAGUGUUUUUUAUAUAAGAUAAAACGUAAUCAUGUGGGAUCUUGUUAGAUUCGUCUCAAUGUGUAUUUUCAAAAUAUCAACUUUUUAUUAUUUUUGCAUAAAGAGAAUUUAAGAUAUAAAUGAUCAAAGUUAUGCAUCGGCAUGCGUGAAACUAACAAACGUUGCGAGUAUUAAAAGACGGAGGAAGUAUUAAGCUGUAACUCUUGCAAUGUAUUUUAAAUUGAAUUUGAUCAUAUACUUAAUCAGGUUGGUUAUUUUGAGUUAUUUUUGUUGGUUUUGAUUAGUAAGUCAAAUCCAUGGAAAGAGGUUCACAAUUCACAAAAUUAUACCGUCAUUAAGAUGCUUUGUGAAGGACCAUGGUAAGGGAAAAACAGAUUCUAACUUCGUAUUGGCGAUGUUCUGCUAUUGUUUGGUACUUCAUCCUCUACAAGUCAAAUUCAAUCCAUUUAUCUGGUAUUUUUUGUUACAUUCUCUUAUAUAACCAUCUGUAUCAAUGCCUCAAAUUUGUACAUCCCCUUGAAUUAAUUCAUCAGAAUUUUGAAUCUGAAAUAUCUCUUGAAUAUUUUGUCAAAUACUGCGUAUUAAAUUAUCUUCAUUCUUGCACUGUGUACGUUUUGGAAGUAUGGACUAAGAAUAUUGUUGCAGAACCAGAUAACCAUACAUGAAUUAUUCUUCUCUAACAAAUUUUCCAUUUGGGACCCUCCCCCCUGCCAUAAGUGGGUGCUUCUUUGAGAUAUUAUUGACAAAAAUAGGCAUAAAAGCUACAUGGAACCCAAGGGAGCAUAUGAGGAAGGCAAACAAUUGCUGUAGAAAAAGUGACUGGACUUACAUUAGAGUGUUCGUCAAGUAAAGUUCUCAUUUCCAUGGUCUUCCAUAUUACUUUUCUGGUUAAAAGUUAUCUGAAAUGACUCAGAUACAUCUCUGAUUUCAUGGUCAUGUUUAAGCACCUCCACUGAAAGUGACAGAGACUUAUAUGACAACUAGAUUAGGUUUCAAUCUACUAUAAGUCUAUAACUAAUAUCUUCUGAUUUUAAUUAGCUCAUAUUGUAUUUAAAAUUAAAAAGAAAAUUGUUUACGUUUAUGCAGCCUAAUAGACGUAUUCGUGUCAUGGAAAAGCUAUUUUCAACAUUCGGAAACAAAGUUUUUUCGUGGGUGAUUAGUUGUGAUAACACAUUUUUUAAAUUUUUAUAUAAUAUCGCACCAUAUAAGACUAGUAAUCUAUAAUGAAUCUCGGUCGUACGUGGUCCUAUGUUCUUAAAGGUAAGUUUUGUACGACUCUACGAUGAUUUACCUAAGACGUGCAUUGUUCAAAUAGGCCCAAAAAUUCCACUUAUGUCAAUUUCUAAAAAGGCAGCUCAAGGCAGAAGACACAUGUCCUCCCCUCAAGGCCAAACCAAUCAUAUAACAGGAUUCGUCAGACCAGAGAUCAAGCUGUGUCGGACCGAAUACCUCCUCGUCAUUAGCAUUAAGGAAAAACCUCACAACAUUUGGCUCCGUCUGUGGGGAGGUACAACAACAUAACUGAUCGACGACCUGAAAGUGAAGUUGAGCUCGUCCAAGCAGGGACGAGCGCCCCCCUCAAGAGAGGGAUUUUCAAAGUGAUGAUCAACAAACUCGUGUCCAGAGGGUAACGAUAGAGGCCGCCCAGACGUUUGCUGCAGGGCAUACUCCCCGUCAUCCCCCUAACGUGGAAGUAUCGAGUGAGGAAGACGUGCAAGCGAACAAACUACCGACCGGCGGGAAUUAGUUUGAUGAGCUGUUAGCCCUAUUAGGUUAAUUCCUACUACCAGUAACUUUUUCUAUGAAUUUUCUUAAAGGAUUACAUGUUGAGGAUUUGGCCUGCUUUCCUAAGUAAAACCAGAUUUUCGUUCUUAUUUGCUAAUCCAGCAUGGGUUAUAUUUAUACAUGAAAGAAUAUUUUCCGUAA